GAAGAAUUUUAUUCAUAAACAAUUUAGAUAACUCAACAUAUAUUAUAACAGUAUAUGUACAAAAAUCAUAAGUUCUUGCAACAAAAUUGGCCAUAUUGAUUGUGAGAAUAUUAAUGAAAAAAAUAUUCAAAAUCAGUCUAAUGUUCUUACACACAAAACACAUCCUAUUGACUACUUAACUAUAUAUUAAUAUAAAGUUUGUUUUUUCAUGGCAUGUCAGAGGUUCAGUUAUAAAACUCAAGUCAAUUUCAAUUAAAGCUGCAAUUUCUUACUGCCAUGAGUUUAAAUAAAUCUAUCCUCACCUGUAUUCUAAGGUGAGAUAAUACAUAUUAACAAAAUUAUCUCCCUUUGGUAAUAUUUCUUAUUACAUCUUGCAUAAUUUGUAUGCGUUAACUUAAAAGUUUGUUCUGGGUUUUUUUUCUCUCUCUCAUUAAAUUAUCCUUACUCUCAUAUCAAGUGUUGCUUAAAACAUACAAUGAUAUGUGGUUGAUUUAAAACCCAAUCUUAAAUAAAAACUUUUAAGUUAGCAAACAGUACCUUCUGACAUUCCCAUUUAAUAUUAUGAGAAAUUUGCAGUAUAGGUAAUAUACAGAUAUAUAAUCAUAAGUUCAAA
rnacentral:lncRNA from 1 species